rnacentral:rRNA from 1 species
UCUGGUUGAUCCUGCCUGAACUGAUGUGUUCAUUUCAAAGAUUAAGCCAUGCAUGUAUAAGUUUAAUCGUUUUAACGAGAAACCGCGAACGGCUCAUUACAAUGGCCAUGAUUUACUUGAUCUUGAUUAUCUAAAUGGAUAACUGUGGAAAAGCUAGAGCUAAUACAUGCACCAAAGCUUUGUCCUCUUGGAAAAGCGCAUUUAUUAGAACAAAACCACGCGGCUUCGGCUGCUUCUUGUUGACUCAGAAUAACUAAGCUGACCGCAUGGCCUUGUGCCGGCGGCGUGUCUUUCAAGCGUCCACUUUAUCAACUUGACGGGAGCAUAAUCGACUCCCGUGGUGGUGACGGAUAACGGAGGAUCAGGGUUCGACUCCGGAGAAGGGGCCUGAGAAAUGGCCACUACGUCUAAGGAUGGCACCAGGCGCGCAAAUUACCCACUCUCGGCUCGAGGAGGUAGUGACGAGAAAUAACGAGAUCGUUCUCUUUGAGGCCGGUCAUCGGAAUGGGUACAAUUUAAACCCUUUAACGAGUAUCAAGCAGAGGGCAAGUCUGGUGCCAGCAGCCGCGGUAAUUCCAGCUCUGCUAAUACAUAGAAUUAUUGCUGCGGUUAAAAAGCUCGUAGUUGGAUUCGUAUCGGUACCCUGGAACCCUCCGGGUGUUUCUGGGUGUUAUCGAUUUAUCGUAAUGUUCGGUUUUGAGUCCUUAACAGGAUUCUUAACAGGCAUUGCAAGUUUACUUUGAACAAAUCAGAGUGCUUCAAACAGGCGUUUUCGCUUGAAUGAUCGUGCAUGGAAUAAUAGAAAACGAUUUCGGUUCAGUUUUAUUGGUUUUACGGACUGAGAUAAUGGUUAACAGAGACAAACGGGGGCAUUUGUAUGGCCCCGUGAGAGGUGAAAUUCUUGGACCGUGGCCAGACAAACUACAGCGAAAGCAUUUGCCAAGAAUGUCUUCAAGCAUACACCGUAAUAACUUCGUAUAGCAUACAUUAUACGAAGUUAUACGAGUUCAAAAAUAGUUAAACAAUUCAGUUAAUUUUGGGAAGCCAAUAUUCAAUUUUGGCCAGGUUAUGUAUUUUUAAAAAUCGGUAAAAUCCGUCCUAUUUUAGGCCAUAACUUAAUCCAAUGUUGUCCUUUUUUCCUAUUUUUUGCUUUAAACUACUCAGUGAUGAAAAAUGAACAAAAACAAUGUAGAUCUUGCACAUGUUAUCUUGACUCACUAUCUAGGUUGACAUAGCGGUUUACCUACUACCUAUAACUAAUGAACCCCUGGCCAAAAUUUCUUCAAAAUUUUCUAAAUUGUAGUUCUACAAAUAAUAUACAAUCAUGCAAAAUUUGAGCGGAAAAUAUGCAUUUUUGGAGAAGUUAUGAAUUUUCGAAAAUCGGUGAUAAUCUAUACAUUUUUGGCCGUAUCUCAGCCUAAAUUGGUUUUACAAACUCAAAUUUGGCGAUAUUCGACGUAACUCAUCGAGCUGCAU